rnacentral:misc_RNA from 1 species
AAGUCGUAACAAGGUUUCCGUAGGUGAACCUGAGGAAGGAUCAUUAACACGUAUCUUUAGGGACUUCCACAAAGAGUGUGCUCGUAGCGCGAGGCAAGUGGCCUGGCAUUCCCAAGCAGUUGGUGUCUGAAUGGCUGUGUAUGGCGCAGUCACGAUCGUGGAGGCCGACACGGCCGACGACCGGGUCACCGGGCUCACUCCCCUUAAUCACAACUUAAUGUCAGACGCGCCUGCGCUUAAUUGUGCGGCGACCAUAAAACUCGAACAACUGUUACAUCUUGGUUCUC